AGAAAAUCUAGUUAUCAGAAGACACCCAACCUUGACAAGGUCAGGGAUGACUAUGUUGACAUAAUCUUUCACUUUCUCAACUAUGAUAAUCACAAGAAGCUCUGGCAUUGUCUUUUAAAGAUGUGUCGAUGAAGACAUUGUCAUCAUUGUGAAUUACUUCAAGCAUCAAGGAAGUCCUUCCACGUAUUCUUUCUGGCAGAGAGCAGGUUCUUACCUCUGGAACUAAAAGCAGGUGCAAUGGAUUGAAUAAUUCAUAGAUAGACAGUCUCACUCAGCCUCACAUACACCGGCAGUUCUGCAGUGGGGGCGAUUUUGCCCUCCAGGAGACAUUUGGUGGCAUAUGAUCAAAAUUUUAUUGUCACACUGCGGAGUGUCCCUGGCAUCUAGGAGGUAGCAUCUGAGGAUGCUACUGACCAGCCUGCAGUGCACAGGAUGGUCCCUGCAACAGCUGAUGCAGCCCAGGAUGUCCGAGUGUUGAGGCUGAGAGCCCACGGUUAACCAUCAGUCAGAGGCUGGAGGUAUCUCGGCAGAACAUUCACACCAGACGUCUCCUUCACAGCCAUGCCCAAGCACGUCUACUGCUAUGACAGCAAAGUGACAGUGAAACCCGCCUCUGCCUUCCCAUCCUUUUCAGGGACACACAGCACUCUGGUGCUGGCGUGGAGCCUGAACGCGAGCGGAUUCAAGACACCAAGAGUUAGAGGUAAGUGUGCAUUCCUUUGUGUUUUAUCACUUCUGUACAAAAUACGGAGGAGGCCUGAUGCAAGAUGAUGUUAAUGUAGUUUCAUCUUUUUUUUUUUACUCUAAUUGUUUCAUUUAUUUAUUUACUUAUUCAUUUUUCCACUCAUCUAUUUUUAGCUGCUUCAAUAAAGAUGUCCUUGUCUGAACAUCCCAAACAAUUCUUUCUUCAAUCUGUAUUGACCCAAUUAGUUGCUUCUCAGCAAUAUUUGUCUAGUUAUGUACUAGCUUAAGCCUCCCCCCAAGUAGCUGAUUUAAUCAGCGAUAUUCACAAUUAGAAUUGUUUCCUUCUAGAAGCUGAAAGUCUGUGGUUAAUUUAACCUAGAGGGCGACUUAUUUUGAUGGCCUGAACCUUCUGCCUUGGUUCAAAUGAGUAUUCUGAGUCUUUGGACCAUGGCUGCUACUUUCCCCCGACAAUGUGAAGUGGAAAGAGAUUUUCCUAUUUUACAUUAAAUGAAGGAUGUGCUGAAUAUAAUUUCCUCACCUGUAAAGAAAAACUUUCUCAAACACAGUCUCUUCGUGAUCCUAGAAAUCACCAGCCCAGGUCAAUGCAUCUUAGGUGAGUAUCUUUGAAUCAUUCUCAGUAUCACGUGGGCUACUCUGCCAUGCCACGUUCCUGAUGUCUCAAAGCCUUUACAUUAGAGAGUUUAUUACCAUUUUUUUAAAAAGCCAACCAAUGCAUUCUUGAUCUAUAAUGUCUUUAUUUAAUAAUAUAAUUUGAUAAUAGACUCCAUCUCUUGGGAUGGAAAUUGAAUUUCUCCAGAAGCAGAACAUAGAGACCUUUAUGUGGGAAUGUUGCAGACCUGCAGAUACUUCUCCCUCAUGAAGCUGAUCCCUAUGAGUCUGCAGAUAUUUCUCGCUCGUGAAUCUGAUCCCUGCACUUCUUUGACAGCAACAAAUCCUGUCUUAAUUCAGGUGCUAGAGAGGCCAACAGAAUUGCCUGACUUUAAACCACUGUUCCCACGUUCCCAGCUGCCUUUACUGGUCUCAUCUUCCUAUUGCCCACUACACAUGGAAUUAUCCUGUUCUAUGAUUGCUUAAUUGAAUUCAGCUCAUUUUAAAAAUU
rnacentral:lncRNA from 10 species